CAACCUUGCGUGACUGCGCCUGGAUGUUCUUCCAACGCUGCAGCAGACUCCUAGCCUAGAGUGGUUACGGCCUGGGGGGCGGGGGCAAGCUCGCAGCCCUCCAGCCAUCCGGUAAGACCCACCUGCUGUCUUUCUAGUCCGGCCGCAAACGGAGGCGCUCUUGUGUGUAGAGCCAAAGCGCACUGACGACCCCACCCAGACAAGGGUGAAAUUCUUCAGCUGCCCCCUCCCUCCGGAUCCUCUGGGGCAUUUCCAUGGGAUCGUGGGUCGCAGGAGCUCCAUCUGGAAAGGAGCCACCCUCCGGCAUGGUGGAACAUUAGAGUACCAGUAGUCCUGCUAUCCGCGACUGUCGGCGCGCACGCUUCUGAGAAGGUGCCGGCGCAGAUCCAUUUACAGCCGAAGCCUCACGGGACGGGUGGAUGCCCAGGAGACUUUUUCGUCCGUUUCGCCUGCUUGUAGCCACCAACCAGCCUGGCAGUAAACGGACUCAUUCUUUCAUCCGUUAUUUCGCGUAACGCAAGUUGGAGAGUUGGAACAUUUCAAUAAAUGCCGCUAUGCAGUAACUAUCUAAAAGUGUCAGAGAAACGAGACUGGGAAUUGAAAGACGAGAGAUUGGGUUAAAAAGAAGCAGCGGCU